UUUUGGGGUUUUGGGAAGUUCAACCUCCAUGGGAGCUUGAGGAACACUCCUUGCUUGGUUGUGUGACCAUUGGUGGAUUGAGACAUUUGGACCAACCGUGAGUGAUCAACCAUUGGAGCAAGCUAUGGAGCUUGAAUAGCUCAUUGGAAUUGGUGUUGGUUUUGGAGUAGAGUAUUGUUGACAUUGGUGAAGAACAAAGGUCGACUGAAGCAUUGAGGUAAGCCUUCGGACCUUGGGUGUAAUUCCCUUGACUGUUCUACCAAGCCCUGAAAGGG